rnacentral:rRNA from 1 species
CUCGUAGGCGGUUCGUCGCGUCCGGUGUGAAAGUCCAUCGCUUAACGGUGGAUCCGCGCCGGGUACGGGCGGGCUUGAGUGCGGUAGGGGAGACUGGAAUUCCCGGUGUAACGGUGGAAUGUGUAGAUAUCGGGAAGAACACUAAUGGCGAAGGCAGGUCUCUGGGCCGUCACUGACGCUGAGGAGCGAAAGCGUGGGGAGCGAACA